UACGAGAGGCCCAAACGUUAUUCGGAAUUACUGGGCUUAAAGAGUUCGUAGGCGGCAUGAAAAGUAGGGUGUGAAAGCCCUCGGCUCAACCGAGGAAUUGCGCUCUAAACUGUCGUGCUAGAGGAAGCUAGAGGUGAGCGGAACUGAUGGUGGAGCGGUGAAAUGCGUUGAUAUCAUCAGGAACACCGGAGGCGAAGGCGGCUCACUGGGGCUUUUCUGACCCUGAGGAACGAAAGCCAGGGUAGCGAACGGG
rnacentral:rRNA from 1 species